GUCGGGAAUAUUGCACAAUGGACGAAAGUCUGAUGCAGCAACGCCGCGUGCGCGAUGAAGGCCUUCGGGUCGUAAAGCGCUUUUCGGGUGGAUGAGAAGGGACAGUACACCCGGAAUCAGGAACGGCUAACUACGUGCCAGCAGCCGCGGUAAAACGUAGGUUCCGAGCGUUAUCCGGAUUUACUGGGCGUAAAGCGCGUUCAGGCGGUUGGGCAAGUCGGGCAUGAAAUCUCUGGGCUCAACCUGGAGAGGUUGUCCGAUACUGCCGAACUGGAGGGCAGUAGAGGGUGGUGGAAUUCCGGGUGUAGUGGUGAAAUGCGUAGAGAUCCGGAGGAACACCAGUGGCGAAAGCGGCCACCUGGACUGCACCUGACGCUGAAACGCGAAAGCUAGGGGAGCGAACGGGAUUAGAUACCCUUGUAGUCC
rnacentral:rRNA from 1 species